GCCAUGCCGCGUGNNGGAAGAAUGNCCUAUGGGUAGUAAACUGCUUUUAUACGGGAAGAAAAAGGGCUACGUGUAGCCCACUGACGGUACCGUAAGAAUAAGGACCGGCUAACUCCGUGCCAGCAGCCGCGGUAAUACGGAGGGUCCGAGCGUUAUCCGGAAUUAUUGGGUUUAAAGGGUCCGUAGGCGGGCUGAUAAGUCAGUGGUGAAAGUUUGCAGCUCAACUGUAAAAUUGCCUUUGAUACUGUUAGUCUUGAGUUAUAGUGAAGUUGCCGGAAUAUGUAGUGUAGCGGUGAAAUGCAUAGAUAUUACAUAGAACACCGAUUGCGAAGGCAGGUGACUAACUAUAUACUGACGCUGAUGGACGAAAGCGUGGGGAGCGAACAGGAUUAGAUACCCUGGUAG
rnacentral:rRNA from 1 species